rnacentral:misc_RNA from 1 species
GAUGAAGAACGUAGUGAAAUGCAAUACGUAAUGUGAAUUGCAGAAUUCAGUGAAUCAUCGAAUCUUUGAACGCACCUUGCACUCUUUGGUAUUCCGAAGAGUAUGUCUGUUUGAGUGUCAUGAAACUCUCAACCCCCUUGUUUUGUAACGAAGCAGGCGUGGGCUUGGAUUAUGGCUGUCUGCUGGACUCUUUAACUAGAGAUCGGCUCGGCUGAAAUAUACGAGUAACCCAGUUUGAACAUUAACGGCUUGACUCGGCGUAAUAGCUUUAUUUCGCUGAGGACGUUUCACAUCAAGAUAGUGGUGCUUCUAAUGCGUCGUAGCGUCAGCUGCACAACCUUUAAGCUUUAGACCUCAAAUCAGUCAGGACUACCCGCUGAACUUAAGCAUAUCAAUAAGCGGAGGA